AGAUAUAUGCACUCUAUCCAGAAACUCCACGUAAGGAACUUCUGAUAGGAAGAGAGUGGCUGGAAUGUAGCUCAAUUGCGAUAGCAGCUUCUCAACUCUCUGCAUGACCACUCAGAGUUUAGAAAUGACCUUAUAUGUUUCUUUCUCUUCGGAGUUGAAGUACAUGGCCAUUUCUAAACAAUACAGAGUUGUAUUGUCUGCGAUGAAUUGGCUGGCUUGAACUGGAUCUUUGGGAUCAAAGGAAGAUCUCCAAUUAUUGAGAAUACCAGUUCUAUUUAUUAAAACAAAGCCUUCAAUAUAAUCAAAGGAGUACUUGGAGGAUAUCAGAUGCUCCUGGUCCUUGGAGAAUAUGGCAAAGUCUGAAUACAAGGGUAUAUUACCAUUUUUGGUGCUGAUUCUAAAGAUAUCCUUGCCCUUGUGAUGAUGCCGAACUGACCGAGGCCUCCAAGUACACUGUAAAACAGGUCUGCAUUCUCCUGCUCUGAACAGAUCUUACAUGAUUGAGGGGUUGACUGAAAUGAAAGAUUCUAGUGGCCAACAGUUUUCACUGUUAAAAAGAAAUUAUAAAAGGGUCUAGACCAUCCAUGUAUUCAUAUUUGGUUUAUAUCAUUGUUGCCCUCCAUCUUCUCAAAUCCAAGUAGAAGAAGAAACAUAUAGCAUGAGCAAUUCAUAAUGUUUGAGUUAGGAGAUGCCGUUAUUCUUCUCACCAAAGAGGAAUUAAAGAGGAUCCCCACAGCCAACAACACAAGUACUAUUUAAAUUUUCUGCACUGUUACUUUGUUAUGGGAACAUAUGGACCAAGCGGAUAUGAAUGGAUUACAUAUUUUUGUCCAGAGAGAAAAAAAACCAUCUCUAAAUUAUAGAAUUCUCUUAAUAAAUUAAUCCUUCAGACUUACAUAAGUGUAAAAAUUAUUCUCUUUGCCUCAUAUUAAAUAUUCAAUUUGACGAGAAAAAAAGUCUCGUUCUUUUUA